AAUGAACGUUGGCGGCGUGGAUUAGGCAUGCAAGUCGCGCGACAAGGAACCUUCGGGUUCUGGAGGAGCGGCAAACGGGGUAGUAAGGCAUCGGAACGUACCCUCUUGUUGGGAAUAGCCGCGGGAAACUGCGAGUAAUGCCCAAUAAUCCCUACGGGGCAAAGGUCCGCCGCAGGAGGAGCGGCCGAUGUGAUACCAGCUAGUUGGUGAGGUAAUGGCUCACCAAGGCUUAGACGUCUAGGGGGUGUGAGAGCAUGGCCCCCACCGACUGGGACUGAGAUACUGCCCAGACACCUACGGGUGGCUGCAGUCGAGAAUCUUCGGCAAUGGGCGCAAGCCUGACCGAGCAACGCCGCGUGCGGGAUGAA
rnacentral:rRNA from 1 species